UAUAAUGUUGUUAGACUCUGUUUUAUAACGUUGUUAGUCUCUGUUUUAUAACGUUGUUAGACUCUGUUUUAUAACGUUGUUAGACUGUUUUAUAACAUUGUUAGACUCUGUUUUAUAACGUUGUUAGACUCUGUUUUAUAACGUUGUUAGACUCUGUUUUAUAACGUUGUUAGACUGCUGUUUUAUAACGUUGUUAGACUGUUUUAUAACGUUGUUAGACUCUGUUUUAUAACGUUGUUAGACUCUGUUUUAUAACGUUGUUAGACUCUGUUUUAUAAUGUUGUUAGACUCUGUUUUAUAACGUUGUUAGACUCUGUUUUAUAACGUUGUUAGACUCUGUUUUAUAACGUUGUUAGACUCUGUUUUAUAACGUUGUUAGACUCUGUUUUAUAACGUUGUUAGACUCUGUUUUAUAACGUUGUUAGACUCUGUUUUAUAACGUUGUUAGACUCUGUUUUAUAACGUUGUUAGACUCUGUUUUAUAACGUUGUUAGUCUCUGUUUUAUAACGUUGUUAGACUCUGUUUUAUAACGUUAUAAGCUAUGUUAUUUAUUGAAAGUACCUGGAAUUUUGCAAACAUAAUCUUCACCCAGGUGAGGUCAUAGCCUGCAUUCAGCCCAGAUUAUGGCUGCGUCCCAAUCGUCUAAAGACGCGUCCUCUGCUUCGUCUACACACAGAUCUGAAACUAUAGGAUGUAGGUGCGAGAAAUAAUUAUCCUUGAUUUGCUUCCACAGCUCAACCGCUUACAGAUCAGUGCAGAAUGAAAGCUCGUCUUUAUUGGACGAGUUCACAAAGGUCCCGCCCUGUUUCGACCCGUUUGUUUUCCGAUUGGUUCCUGAUGAGUACGACCGCAGGUUCACCCAGAUGUUCACAUAUUAGCCUUUUCGAAGACAUUGACAAACGGUACACACACUUUUGAACACAAUACACACGUAGAUCAUAGAGCGGUUCGGACUGUAUAGACCUUCGCGAUACAUGUCGUAGUACCACAGCAUAGACACACUAAUACACCCAAGAGACGUCUGUUUUUGGGGGUCGUGAGAGCGGUUUGAAACUAGGAGAAGAACAAUAUUUUACAAAGGACAUAUUUGUGUAGUGUGUGUUCAGUAGUUGUGCUAUUAAUAAAAAUGACUACUCUGUUUGCAUUCUUUAGGAAGUUUUAAACAGAAAUGAAAUUGCACAACUGACAAAUGAACCCAACAGAAUGUCAACAAGCAACAUACACAGGAAAUGACCUCAGCGUGGAACAUUGUGAUUGUGUCAGUGUGUGAGUGUCUGUGUACGUGCAUGUGGUUUGUGUAACGAUUUUACCACAGAACCGGAGGAAAGAGGUGACAUGUGUUCAAUGGAAGCAGCAGAUGCUAAAAAGAGGACACACACACACACACAGACACACACACAGACACACACACAGACACACACACAGACACACACACACUCACACAGACAGACACAGACACACACACACACACACACAGACACUCACACACACACACACACACACAGUCACACACACACACACACACACACACACAAGGCAGGGCAGCAGGGAGCAGCUCUCUCCUUAUUUAACAUCAACCAGAGUGACGUCAACAAAACCCCAGAACUAGAACAUGGCAGUUUAUUCAGUCAUUAUUCAUUUUACAUUUACAUUUAAGUCAUUUAGCAGACGCUCUUAUCCAGAGCGACUUACAAAUUGGUGCAUUCACCUUAUGACAUCCAUCACUCAGGACAAGUAUGACAGAAACACACAUGGGUCUACAGAGUCAAGGUGGAUACUCAGGACAAGUAUGACAGAAACACAUGGUUCCACACAGUCAAGGUGUAUACUCAGAACAAGUUUGACUAAAACACACAUGGUUCUACAGAGUCAAGGUGGAUACUCAGAACAAGUAUGACAGAAACACACAUGGUUCCACACAGUCAAGGUGUAUACUCAGAACAAGUAUGACAGAAACACACAUGGUUCCACAGAGUCGAGGUGGAUACUCAGAACAAGUAUGACAGAAACACACAUGGUUCCACACAGUCAAGGUGUAUACUCAGGACAAGUAUGACUGAAACACACAUGGUUCCACACAGUCGUGCUUGGAAGUGCUCUGAUAACCAACAUUUGGGAGUUUGGGAAAUAUUCUAAGGUACUGAUAUUCUAAGGUACUAAUAUUCUAAGGAGGUACUAAUAUUCUACGGUACUAAUAUUCUAAGGUACUGUUAGUCUAAGGUACUAAUAUUCUAAGGUACAAAUAUUCUAUGGUACUAAUAUUCUAAGGUACUAAUAUUCUAAGGUACUGUUAGUCUAAGGUACUAAUAUUCUAAGGUACUAAUAUUCUAAGGUACUGUUAGUCUAAGGUACUAAUAUUCUAAGGUACUAAUAUUCUAAGGUACAAAUAUUCUAUGGUACUAAUAUUCUAAGGUACUAAUAUUCUAAGGUACUAAUAUUCUAAGGUACUGAUAUUCUAAGGUACUGAUAUUCUAAGGUACUGUUAGUCUAAGGUACUAAUAUUCUAAGGUACUAAUAUUCUAAGGUACAAAUUCUAUGGUACUAAUAUUCUAAGGUACUAAUAUUCUAAGGUACUGUUAGUCUAAGGUACUAAUAUUCUAAGGUACUGAUAUUCUAAGGUACUGAUAUUCUAAGGUACUAAUAUUCUAAGGUACUAAUAUUCUAAGGUACUAAUAUUCUAAGGUACUGUUAGUCUAAGGUACUAAUAUUCUAAGGUACUGUUAGUCUAAGGUACUAAUAUUCUAAGGUACUAAUAUUCUAAGGUACUAAUAUUCUAAGGUACUAAUAUUCUAAGGUACUAAUAUUCUAAGGUACAAAUAUUCUAUGGUACUAAUAUUCUAACGUACUAAUAUUCUAAGGUACUGUUAGUCUAAGGUACUAAUAUUCUAAGGUACUGAUAUUCUAAGGUACUGAUAUUCUAAGGUACUAAUAUUCUAAGGUACUAAUAUUCUAAGGUACUGAUAUUCUAAGGUACUAAUAUUCUAAGGUACUGUUAGUCUUCAUGUCUCAUCUACUAUCUGAUGUAAUCAAAGUGCCAAAUAACAAAAAUAAUGAGAUCUGACUCCAAUUAGAUAUUUAAGGAUCUAAACUUGAAUAAGAUUAUAAACAUAUCAUCUGUACUGAGCCACUGACAAGAACAAUAAACCUUGUCUUUAAAUUCUGGCUUGUUGUUUAUGUGGUGUUUUCAAUUCUAACUCUGUGAGGUGUUUAGUUUCAUUGUGUAGCUCCCAACAGAUAAA